GGUUCUGUGUGGACAGAAGGGAGUCCGGUUUUUCUUCCCUCUGUGGGAAAGCUGUUGAUAUGAAAUGGUAGGUGGGUGAAAUUCAACAAGAAAACAUAAUAUUACACUUCUAUUACCGUAUAUAAAAAAAACUUUUAUUUUUUUAUUUAGCAAACACUUGUACAUGACUGAAUUCUCUUCUCCUACAUGUUGAUACAUAGGCUUGCAGACAUGGGACAAUUAGUUGUUGGAUAUAGCUGAGAUGGGUAUCAGGCAGUUCUUUGAAGAUCAGAAGUUGACCUACAGUGAAGAAGGGGUCCCAGCUAUACCUAGUACCAAGGUUUACAAGAUAUGAGGAAGAUGAUGCUCUUCAGUUGACAUCCUGAGGACCAAUCUAUUUUGAGUCUCCUUCCAUGUAAUCACUUCAUAUUGAUUAUUCCUUCACUGAAAAUGUGCCUUUUUUUCACAGAGCUCAGAUGGAAAUAUAUCCUUGUACCAGUGUGACCUUUUCAAAUUCUCUAGUGCAAUUUAGGGUCAGUUUGGAGGGAUUUUGGACAGAGGCUCCUUGGUCGCCAUCAACCCAUGAGACAGAGAAAAGUAUGCAACACUGAUCAUGUUGUUAAUGGACCAAGAGGACUGCCGAUACCUCUUGGACACUUUUUUAUACAAUCCUGAAUUGUUCAAAGGUUCUCCAUUUGAUGUGCCUGAUGAGGAGGUAAACAGACUUUUCAGGAGUUGUGCUAUUAAGUUUAUACAGUCUUCAGAUGCUCUCCCAGACGUGAAGGAUAAGGAAUGGGGCUUGGACGUCUUCAUAGAGAGAGUUUAUCUCACCCCAAAGGCCUCAUAAACAUGAUUUCAUGGGCUUCUCUGAGACUACAGGAAGAUAUAUCUGAGAGAAAUAGUGCAUUGAAAAUUAUUGUCAGGAUAUUUGGUGUUCUGUGAAUGUUAAAUAUUGUUAUUAGCUUUGUUGACAGUUUGGAAAUGACCUAAUGUCGAAAUAUGCCAAGUCAAUUCUUUCAUAUGGGAAAUUAACUGAAUUUACAGUGAUUUUGAAAUG